CAUUUCUUUUCUUUUGGUUUGUCUGCACUUUUCUUUCUCUCUCUCUCAAAAACUCUCUCUUUCCUCUUCUUCCUCUUCUACCCGUGAAAGACACACACACACACACCCAUUGUUGCACCUGCUUGAGGACACAGCCACCAUCAUCAUCACCAAACCUUAGCUCUCUCUCUCUCUCCCUUGCUCACGGCACCAAGAGGGUACGAGCACCUCCGGCGAAUUUAGCUUGUUUUCCGGUUGGGUUUUGGAGUGUUUUUGGCAAGGGUGGAGGUACACCCAAUUUUCCGGCGAGUGCGUGUUUUCCGAGGGAUUUUCCGGCCACCACAAGCCGUUACACGGCGAACCCAAGGUGCGAUUCUUAGCGGAGAUUUCGUUACUCCUGUUUGAUACGGCUUGCACCAUCGGUGUACGGACCUUGGAACGAGGAUUACGACCUAAGCUACGAGGCGUUCCCCUACCAAUGAUUUGUGUCAUAUUCGCUCCGCUUCGCCACUU